ensembl:lncRNA
CAUUUAAGGGCUGACUCCAAGGAGGAAGGUUCUCUGUCUGGAGUUUACUUCUCUUGGAGCCCUUCCACAAGUCCAGGAUAUGGGGCCUGAUUCCUACCUUGCUGCUGAGGAACAGCCACGGCAAUGGGAGACAGAAUAGUCCACAGGAUCCAUCUCCUAAGCACACAUUUCCAGGGAAGAACAUAGGAGGACUAUGCCUGUGCAGCUCAUGCCCACACCUCUUACUGCUCAUGCAAAACACCUGCAUGUGCCAUUCAUGUCCGUCCCUUUCAAACUGUUCAGAAACAUCUGUGUGCUUCUUUCAGAGCACAAAUGUGCACUGUCAAAUCAUGCAUUUACUUGCAAUGAGAAAAGUGGUUUGCAUGGGAAGUUCCGAAUUUCGCACCUAUGUAUGUCAAUGCACUUGGGUGAGGAUGUCAAGUGGAUUGAGAACAGUUUUUAGGCCUCUGUCUAUCAGGUCAAAAUGAUCAAAUAUAGUCACAUAUUCUCACAUCCAGUAUGACACAACUGUAAAAUAUUAAUGACUCAUUUACUAGGGAGGGAAAUAUUUUUCUUCGUGACUUCAGAGAGCUCGGCUUGCAUGCAGUUGAGUGCAGAUUGUGCACUUCUCAUGGUACAGCUGCACUUACACUGACCACACUGAAAGGCUUAAACUACUGCAUGUCAUUUGAGCACAAGAAACAUUAACAAACUCGAGUCAAGAAAGUAUUAGGGACAGUUUUUGGUUCUUAGGCUCAACAACCAAGAGGUACAGACAGAAAAAACUCAUUUUAAAUCAAGAGCUGUAAAGGAAAACUACAUGCAAUUGAAGGAAUACUUCCAAUAAAAAGUGAAGGCAAAAGCAGAAGCCAAGAAAAACUGUUGUAAUGGUAUAACAUCCAAUUACCACACAUCAGGGCAAUGGCAUCAUACACAUUAUUUAGGCAGCAUAAAGGCAUGAGCCAUUAAGCUGUAUUCAGAGCUGUGAUGGCAAACUCCAAGCCUAAAAAAUAUUGAGCUCUAUCUUCUGCAAGUGUAAAUCAGGCUUGCUGUAGUGUUGUCAAUGGAGUUGGACUCAUUUACAGCUGCCAAGGAUCUGUCUCAUUAAGCACAUCUGACGCGCCAUGCUGGAAACCCCUGUCUUGUGCAAACUCUGCAGUUUUUGCUGCCAAAAACUUCUCAGCCUUGAGAGAGGGAAAGAAAUGUGUGACAAAACAAUUGCACUUUGGGAUGAAGCAUCUCAAAAAAUAUCUGUUUUUUCUCUGUCUGGUUGCCAAAUGCU